AAAUUUAAACCCUUUUUAAAGUAUCAAUUGGAGGGCAAGUCUGGUGCCAGCAGCCGCGGUAAUUCCAGCUCCAAUAGCGUAUAUUAAAAUUGUUGCAGUUAAAAAGCUCGUAGUUGAAGUUCUGCUGAAAGUAACCGGUCUGCUUUUAAUAAAAGUGGUAUCUUGGUAUGUAUUUAGCAAUGAUGUCCUUUGAAGUGUUUUUUACUUUAUUGUAAUAAAGCAUAUUCAGGACUUUUACUUUGAGAAAAUUAGAGUGUUUCUAGCAGGCUGACGCUUUGAAUACUGCAGCAUGGAAUAAUAAGAUAGGAUUUUAGUUCUACAUUAUUGGUUUUAAGAGCUAAAUUAAUGAUUGAUAGGGACAGUUGGGGGCAUUUGUAUUUAACUGUCAGAGGUGAAAUUCUUAGAUUUGUUAAAGACAAACUACUGCGAAAGCAUUUGCCAAAGAUGUUUUCAUUAAUCAAGAACGAAAGUUAGGGGAUCGAAGACGAUCAGAUACCGU
rnacentral:rRNA from 1 species